rnacentral:lncRNA from 1 species
UACUACACUACAAUACAAUAUACUACAAUACAAUAUACUACAAUACAAUAUACUACAAUGCAAUACAAUACAGUACAAAGCAGAACAACAAAACACAACAGAUACAUUUUUACAAAUCCUUUUUGACACCGAAUAAGCUAUCUAUUUAUAUUUUAAUAAAUUUACACUUUUUUUUAUGCUUUUUAUUUUAUUAAUCCGCAUUACAUAAGCUAUUCAAAUUUAUUUCUAUUUUUUUAUUUUUAAUUGAACAAAUAAGCAUAUUCAUAAAAUAUGUACAUACAUACACAUAUAUAUAUAUAUAUAUAUAUGUAUGUAUAUAUAGCAAAUAAAAUGAUUGAUUAAAUACUUUAAGAUAGUUCUAUAACUAUAACUUACUUUUUUUUGUGUAAUUAAUAAAAAAAAUAAAAUAUAUGUAUGCAUGAUUUUACAACUUCGUUUUUCACACAUUUAUUUUAAUUGUAAAUUAUAUACAUGUUAACACACAAAACAUCCCAAAUGACACCAGUGUGUUAGUUUUGCUCAACCAUUGUUAUUAUAUUUAUAUACAAAUAAGCUGUAACGAAAAAAAAAAAAAAAAAAAAAAAAAAAAAUGUGUACAUAUAUACAUACAUAUUUUGUGUACUUCUUAAGCUCCAAAUAGGUAUUUUUCUAUUUAUAAUAUACGAAUUAUAAAUGAAACUAUCAUAUUUUUAAAAAAAGUUUCUGUUGUCUUUUAUUUGUAUGACAAUACUAAAUAUAUAAAUUUUAAUUUUAUUCAAGACAGAAAAAACUUUAUUGCUUCUUAUAUUUUUACUUUUUAUUAAUAAAUAUUAACACUGGAAAAAUAAGAAAAAAAAAUGAAUAAAAAUGAUGCAAACAAUUUUUUAUGCCACUUUGACUUUUCUUCAUUAGAAGAAUUAAAUCCGUCACUGGUUGAUGGUUAUUAUAUAUAUUACAGUAAGGAAGUACCAUGCGAAAUACGAAAACAAACGUCAGAACAUUUUUCACAAGAAGUUGGAGUAUUUGAAACUCUAAAUGUACAAAUUUUUGUUUUAGGAGAAGAAUUCAAUGCUAAGAGUGUAAAGAUUGAGUUAACAAGUGAAACCAAUCUAUUUUUUCACUUCACUCAAACAGUGAAUGCGCAUACAUUCAAAACUAUGCAGAAUAAACAAAAACUAACGAUUGAUUUUUCUGAGUACUUAAGUGUUGUAAUAAAAAUGUUUAACUCUUGUGUUAAAGAACCACAAGGGUUUUUAGCAAUAUUUACCAAAAAAAUAAAUGGGAUGGGUCAAUUAAAUUUUGUAAAGAACAUGCAAUACAAAUUCAUUGAUCUCCUGGUAUGCGAUUUUAUUGAGUCCAACGAAGAUACAAUUAAAGAAAGUAUUACAUAUAGAUAUAAUGUCAGUAAAUCUAAAAAUUCUAUUAUGAAUAAAAGGCUUCAAGAUAUAAGCCUUUUAAUUAAGUCUAAAAACCCAUCCCUUUUAAUGCAACUUCAAAAAACAGCCAUGAAACAACUGGAUAUGAUCAAUAAUAAAAACAAUACAAAAAAUAUCUGUAAUCAAAAAUGGAUAUAGUAAGUGAAUAAUUCUGGCUUUUUUUUUUUAUCACAAGAUAUCACUUCAUGAUAAGAAAAAAGGGUAUAUACGCAUAGGUAUGUACGUACUUUUAUAUAUCUACAUAUAUGUAAGUAUGUACCUACAUACAUUUUUUUGUGCUCAUACAAUAUAACUGAAAUUGUUAAUACAUUUUUAAAAUGGUAAUUUUUUGACAUGGUAAUUUUUUGACAUGGUAAUUUUUUGACAUGNNNNNNNNNNUAAUUUUUUGACAUGGUAAUUUUUUGACAUGGUAAUUUUUUGACAUGAUAAUUUUUUGACAUGGUAAUUUUUUAACAUGGUAAUUUUAUUUAUGUUCAAUUUGUGAUUUUAUUUAUUUUUUUAUUAUUUUUAGUUUUGUUUCAAUCAAUGUUUAUAACUUUUUUGAAAUAUCUCAAAAAAAAAAAAUAUAUAUAUAUGUACAAAAAUAACCUUUACAUGAAAAUAAUGUGAUUGUAAAAAAAAAAAAAAAAAAAAGCGCUUUAUAGUUGAUAGUAAGGUUAUAAUAACAUUAAAAGGGUAUUACAACGCUUGGGUGCUUUUUUUUUUUAUCUUUUUAAGAAUAAUGUAAUGUUGUUUUACUAUUUUAAAUAUAAACAUAUAUUUUAUUUGCAUUUAUUGACAUGCCACUUUGCAUUUGUAUAAUUACGUAUAAGGGUAUGCAAAUUUCAUAUGGUUUAGUGUCCUAUUGUUAAAUGUCAUUUUUUUUUUUUUUAAUUUUAUAAUGCUUCAUAAAAAAAAAAAAAAAAAAAUAUAUAAUACAUAAAUAUAAUAUGAAUAAAUGAACACAAGUUUGUAAAUAUAAAAACA